UACGGGGGGAGCAAGCGUUGUUCGGAUUUACUGGGCGUAAAGGGCGCGUAGGCGGCCAGCACAAGUCAGUUGUGAAAUCUCCGAGCUUAACUCGGAAAGGUCAACUGAUACUGUGCGGCUAGAGUGCAGAAGGGGCAACUGGAAUUCCUGGUGUAGCGGUGAAAUGCGCAGAUAUCAGGAGGAACACCGGUGGCGAAGGCGGGUCUCUGGGCCGAUACUGACGCUGAGGAGCGAAAGCGUGGGGAGCGAACAGG
rnacentral:rRNA from 1 species